rnacentral:rRNA from 1 species
AACGAACGCUGGCGGCAUGCCUAACACAUGCAAGUCGAACGAGACCUUCGGGUCUAGUGGCGCACGGGUGCGUAACGCGUGGGAACCUGCCCUUAGGUUCGGAAUAACUCCCCGAAAGGGGUACUAAUACCGGAUAAUGUCUUCGGACCAAAGAUUUAUCGCCUUUGGAUGGGCCCGCGUUGGAUUAGCUAGUUGGUAGGGUAAAAGCCUACCAAGGCGACGAUCCAUAGCUGGUCUGAGAGGAUGAUCAGCCACACUGGGACUGAGACACGGCCCAGACUCCUACGGGAGGCAGCAGUGGGGAAUAUUGGACAAUGGGCGAAAGCCUGAUCCAGCAGUGCCGCGUGAGUGAUGAAGGCAUUAGGGUUGUAAAGCUCUUUUACCCGGGAUGAUAAUGGCAGUACCGGGAGAAUAAGCUCCGGCUAACUCCGUG